GGGGUAUUAGUAAAGUGUGAUACCCGGGACUAGAGACAUAACUGAUUAACUAGGUAUGGGUAUCACUGAACAUUCCCCCCUUGUUAUUAUUACAGUGGUACUUAUAAUGGGGGGAAGCCUCGGGAGAAAGAAGGCGUUAGGACACAGCAGAGAGCUGGCGGGACAGAUACGGGGACCCAGAGAGAGGGGAUAAAAGGGGAGAGAGGCUCGAGCGCGGUGUUGGUGGUUGCUGCGCUGCUGUGGUGAGGAGAAGGGACAGACUGACGCGCGGUGCUGGUGACGGGAGAGGAACGGAGCCGCACAAUCAGACCGGAGUUUGGCCGGAGAGCCGUGAGAGACUUACCGCUGGCAGACCCAUCGAGCGGAGCAGAGUUGGACAGAGCGGCGUGAACUGGGACACCGGCAGUCAUAAUAGAGCUCAGCGGUGACGCGAAGGGGGGAGAGGAGGCGGCCAAAAUGUGAGUGACGGGAAGCCCUAUACCAAUCCUCCCCAGUGACAGGGGAAGAGGCAUGUGACUGAAGUCCGACCCAGAGGGCAGGCGAAGCGGCUCAUAUAUCACACGCAGCCCCGCCACUGGACCCCCGUGAUCGGGAAGCCGCAACAUGCCGGGUAACCAUGACUACAGCGUCUUCUGUUGCCCAGGCAAUGCCGAAAUCCCGUGACGCGCCGGAACCACGUGACGGAGGCGGCCGCACGUCACACACACCUGAACGGAAGCUUCACGCUUCCCCGAACACCGCUGUCACCCACGCCGUCCGGGUCCCCUUCACUAUAAAGGUAACUUUUAUCACACUGUACACAUUACUCUGUUUGUUCACCUUGACAAAGGGGCGUUUGCGCCCCGAAACGUUGGAUCACCAUUUUCUCUGCCGUUAUGGAAUAAAAGCACUUGCACUUUUAACCUGAUAUCCACAGCCUCCGAGUGCCGCUGAUUGUCCUAUCGGAAAACUGUUUGUAGACUUCCUCCAGAUGGCACCGGAGCACCAUUAAAAGCAGAGGGAAACGUAUGGCCUUUUCUCAGGAACACUACUGGAAAAAAAACACAUUUUAAUAAUACGAGAAUAACAGGAAAAGCGGGCAGCAGGCAGAUAACAAGGAAAAAAAUAGCGGGCACAUAAGAACAGAAGCUGGAGAGAAGACACAUUUGUAUUCUUACUACGAAAAUGUAACAUGAAAAGAAAAAUACAUCUACAACUCUCAGAGUGACUCAGUCAUGCCGGGCGUCUCACAUUAUAUGGCGUGAAUACACCCAGUGAAUGAAGAAACAUCUGAACGCCACUGAACACGUCACCUGGCAGAUGGCGCUACCUGCAGAUUAAGUUGAAGGCUCUAUUCCAGGUGCAGGAUGUGUGUGACCUCACCCUUGACCUUGCCCAUUAUAAAUACACCACUAUUUACUAUGCUCACAUAAACUACUGGAAAUAAAAGCAGAAAUAUAGACUCACUUUCUUAAAAAUCUGUUGUACACUGUUUCUGGCUUAUGGGACCUUUGGAGACUUUAGAAGGUUUAACAUCAACAAGAAAUGUCCAAAUAGUGCCACGAAGGGGACACCAAUAUGCACAGCCACAAACAGUAAGCCUGGUAAAUAACUAACAGCGACUGAUGUUCAUUUCUGAAUAAUACAUACAGUACAUGAAGAAAUGGAGCUGAUGCUCAAGUCCAUAGCACAGGUGUACCAAGAAUGACAUAAAGCUGUAAGUGUGUACAUUUCCUGACAUAAAGCUGUAAGUGUGUACAUUUCCUGACAUAAAGCUGUAAGUGUGUACAAGUGUGUACAUUUCCUGACAUAAAGCUGUAAGUGUGUACAUUUCCUGACAUAAAGCUGUAAGUGUGUACAUUUCCUAUUUGUGGUCUAAGUGAUACUCAACUCUAUUGAUGAGAUCAGACUAAAGGGAGGCUGGGACGCCCCCAGUAAUUAGCCAUUCUUCUUGAUGGACUGUGUCCUAACAAUAAAAUAAAGAACUAUA